GGGGACGUAGCUCAGCCUGGAAGAGCGCCUGCUUUGCAAGCAGGAGGUCGUGGGUUCAAUUCCCAUCGUCUCCACCA
rnacentral:tRNA from 1 species